CAUUCUCAAAACCUUCUUGGUUUCUUGAAUCAAGAUGGCUUUGGACUUUGGAGGCAUUUGCUGGCUUUGCGAAAAGCCAGCUCCUCUUGAAUGCAUUAGUGGGGUCCCCUUUGCCGAUCCCCAGGCGUGAUAAGAUGUUUCUACGUCUUGGGAUUUGCUCUGUUCCUUGGGAACCCGCUUCUAACCGUCUCAUGGAAGACAUUGUUCGAGCUUGCUCGACCCACGAA
rnacentral:misc_RNA from 1 species